UAAAACGGGAACGCUGGCCUUCUAAAAGCCCACCCCCACUCUCCUCGAAUCCUGAACCCAAAGCCACCGGGAUACGGGAUUUUGCUAGGCUGAUCAAAGAAGGAGCAGCUCAGAGGGCUCAAGACACUUUCCUCUUUCUACUCGGCCUGCGGCAGGAGGAUACUCCCCUGGUUCUCGCCAAAAGAGGAGGAGGCGGACCAGACAGAGUCAGCAGCGAAAAGCAGCCUUGGCCGCGAAGGCAGCUCGUCCACGCGGCCAGAGAACUCACCGAACAAAGCACACCGCGCGGACCUGGUUAGGGAGACGCGAAAGAAGGGAAAAGAUUCACCCCAACUCUUCACCACUGCCUGAAGCUAGAAACAGGUGGAGCCGCUCUUAGAAGGGGGAAAAAAAAAAUGGGUUUUCGAGGGGCUAAUCUGAACUCCAGCGCCAAGACAACCGGAACCAAGACCCCGACCGGGGAGCACACCCGGGAAAAAGGCAGGCGAGCAGUGAGGACAAAAAUGUUGCAACUGCAGAUAAUAUGUGCACAGUGGAUGCUACGUGCCCAACAGGUCCCUCUUGGAUCAAGGAACUCUUUCCUCUGGCUGCGGGAGAUUGGCUGCUAAUGGCUCACAACUCAGUUCCUCUUCAGGAACUGUCCUGAGCUGGAGGUUAUCCACUUCCCUGGGGACAACCAGCAUCCAAAAAUACUCAGACUGUCUGUCUCAGUGUGGAACAACUCUGAAGAAUCAUUCCAGCUCCAAAGCUCUGUGUAGGAUCAACCGAGGUCUCUCCGCCAUUACAUUGUGGUUCACCUUCCCCUUUUGCUUUUCCUUCUGCUUUUCUUACUCGUGGCAAAUGCUGUUCUCCAGAGCACCCCGUAAUGAAACUUCCGUCCAAAAAUGUAAGAAUCAGAAGUGUCUGUUUCCCAGGAACCUGGCCUCUGACACUUCCAAACGAAAUUAGAAGAUCAAGAGGGGCUAAAAAUGUGUUCAUUUUAGUUUACUAUCAUUCGUGUACUCUGCCUGGUACAUAUAGGAUGGUGUCACAAAAACUUACAAGGUGCAGUAUCUAUUUGUAUAUACUACUACCUGAAAUGUAUAGAGAAAUAAAAUGCAUAGAUUUGGUUGAACCAUAAAAAACAAAUGUAAUAGCACCUGACAUACGAAAGGAGCUCAACAAAUAUUUCCUGAAUCUUUGACUCAGGUUCCUUACAAUAAAGUGAUUUACACUUGUCUCAUAAUUCAGUGCUUCAAA